UACGGGAGGCAGCAGUCGGGAAUAUUGCGCAAUGGAGGAAACUCUGACGCAGUGACGCCGCGUGCAGGAAGAAGGUUUUCGGAUUGUAAACUGCUUUAGACAGGGAAGAACAAGGACAGUACCUGUAGAAUAAGCUCCGGGUAACUACGUGCCAGCAGCCGCGGUAAU
rnacentral:rRNA from 1 species